rnacentral:lncRNA from 1 species
AGUUCCAUGUGGCCUGGAGAAGGCCUCUGGGAGUGGGGCUUGAAGCAGGUUGGAGGGACGCAGGACCGGAGACCACCUCUGCUGCUGGGAGGGAUGGGCAGGGCCGAUGUCAAGGAUGGCAGUGAUCCUGCUGAGACACUCGCUGUCUCCAAGGGUGUGGCAGCAAGGAGUGGAGACCCGAUGGACCAGAGCCGUGCCCUGGAAGCAAAGAGUGGUGAGGAGAGCGCAGGAUAGGAAGGUGGGAACAUUCUGGCAUUUCCGAACGAGGACAUUGGCCAAUGGCCUGGAUGCGGCUGUCCUGAAGAACAUGGAGUUCCAGAAGGAGCACAGGGUUCAGGCCAUCCGUCCCCAACCCUAAGUGAGAGGAUUCACGUUCCCAGGAAGCUGGCUCUUGGGGGCCUUGGCUCUGGGACAAUCCUGUCGCUACCACCGGAGGCUGGUCUUUGGGGGAGAACACAGAUUUCAUUUCUCGUGAAGGGAAGCACCUGAAGCAAGCCUGUUUAUGGAUGCAAACAUCUGUUAAAGCCACUCCGCUUUUUGACGAGGAGUUAAGGUGUGUCAAUGCUCGAGUCCUGAGACCCGGGGAUAAGGUGGAGAGGAUGAAGCCCUGGGGAGGGGCCGGUGUCUCUACGGGAAACACCUGUGGGUACACUGCCCCGGAUGGCAGCUGUCCUGUAUCCGGGAAGGACAACCUGGCAUUGCAAGUGUGUAGAGAUCGCCGUGGUGCAAGCUGCUCAUGGUGCACUCAGACGGCUCGUCCUGAGACGGCUGAGGCUGCGGUGUGAAUGCUGGGGACAGGGUGGGGGUGCCCUGCCCUGCAAGGCUUUCUCACCCUCACCUUCGCAGUAGCCCUGGCAGGCCACAGACUCCUGUCUCAAAGUGAG